rnacentral:rRNA from 1 species
AGUCUAAGUAUAAGUUAUUCUGAAGACGAAACUGCGAAUGGCUCGGUAAAACAGCAAUAAUUUCUUCGGUGAUGAUUUUACUCACGGAUAACCGUAGUAAUUCUAGAGCUAAUACGUGCUGAAAUAAGGUGGGGCUUGCGCUCCACCGUGCCGUUUAGAUAACAACACCAACAUUUGGUGAUUCAUAAUCGUCUUUCUGAUCGCUUUCGAGCGACACACCGUUCAAAUUUCUGACCUAUCAACUUUCGAUGUUAAGGUAGUGUCUUAACAUGGUGGUAACGGGUAACGGACCGUGGGUGCGGGACUCCGGAGAGGGAGCCUGAGAAACGGCUACCACAUCCAAGGAAGGCAGCAGGCGCGCAACUUACCCAAUCCAGACUCUGGGAGGUAGUGACAAGAAAUAUCAAUAGGGGAGCCUACGGUUCUUCUAAUUGGAAUGAGAUCGAGCUAAACAGCCAUAUCGAGAAUCCAGCAGAGGGCAAGUCUGGUGCCAGCAGCCGCGGUAAUUCCAGCUCUGUAAGCGUAUACCAAAGUUGUUGCAGUUAAAACGCUCGUAGUCGGACUUUGGCAGUUCCGGGAGUGUGCGCGUCGUGCGCACGCUUUGCGGGGACUGCUUUUGUGGUAUUGCGUGGGAUGAAGCAUUUUAAUUAAUGAACGUCCCUCCGCAACCACUUUUUACUGUGAGAAAAUCAGAGUGCUCAAAGCAGGCAUUUGCCGUGAAUGUAUUAGCAUGGAAUAAUAGAAUAGGACUUAGUUCUAUUUUGUUGGUUUGUUGGGACUGAGUAAUGAUUAAGAGGGACAGUUGGGGGUAUUUGUAUUUCGGCGCUAGAGGUGAAAUUCUUAGAUUGCC